rnacentral:rRNA from 1 species
UACGGAGGGUGCAAGCGUUAUCCGGAUUCACUGGGUUUAAAGGGUGCGUAGGUGGGGCUGUAAGUCAGUGGUGAAAUCUCCAAGCUUAACUUGGAAACUGCCGUUGAUACUAUAGCUCUUGAAUGUUGUGGAGGUGAGCGGAAUAUGUCAUGUAGCGGUGAAAUGCUUAGAUAUGAACAUAGAACACCAAUUGCGAAGGCAGCUCACUAACACAAAUAAUUGACACUGAGGCACGAAAAG